UGGGAAUAUUGGACAAUGGGCGAAAGCCUGAUCCAGCCAUGCCGCGUGUGUGAAGAAGGUCUUCGGAUUGUAAAGCACUUUAAGUUGGGAGGAAGGGUUGUAGAUUAAUACUCUGCAAUUUUGACGUUACCGACAGAAUAAGCACCGGCUAACUCUGUGCUAG
rnacentral:rRNA from 1 species